rnacentral:rRNA from 1 species
GACAGAGGGUGCGAACGUUGCUCGGAAUUACUGGGCGUAAAGCGCGUGUGGGCGGACUGGUAAGUCGGACGUGAAAUCCCUGGGCUCAACCCAGGAACUGCAUCCGAAACUAUCAGUCUGGAGUGGUGGAGAGGAAAGCAGAAUUCCUGGUGUAGAGGUGAAAUUCGUAGAUAUCAGGAGGAACACCGGUGGCGAAGGCGGCUUUCUGGACACUAACUGACGCUGAGACGCGAAAGCGUGGGGAGCAAACAGG